UACGGGGGGAGCAAGCGUUGUUCGGAUUUACUGGGCGUAAAGGGCGCGUAGGCGGCGCAACAAGUCACUUGUGAAAUCUCCGGGCUUAACCCGGAGCGGUCAAGUGAUACUGUCGUGCUAGAGUGCGGAAGGGGCUACUGGAAUUCUCGGUGUAGCGGUGAAAUGCGCAGAUAUCGGGAAGAACACCCGUGGCUAAGGCGGCUCUCUAGUACGGUACUGACGCUGAGACGGCGAAAAGCGUGGGGAGCGAACAGG
rnacentral:rRNA from 1 species